ACAACUGAAAAAAUUGCAUAUGUUAGCAUUGAACCAAUACAAAGAUUAUUAGCAUGGUCUCUGUACAAGGAUAGUAUGCAAAUGUAUGAAGUUUCCAUACCUUUA